AUUGAACGCUGGCGGCAGGCCUAACACAUGCAAGUCGAGCGAGCGGCGGACGGGUGAGUCCUGUAUGGGGACUGCCCGAUAGAUGGGGAUAACUACUGGAAACGGUGGCUAAUAACGCAUACUGUCGGAUGAGGCAUAUGGGAUUAGCUAGUCGGUAAGGUAAUGGCUUACCUAGGCGACGAUCCCUAGCUGGUCUGAGAGGAUGAUCAGCCACACUGGGACUGAGACACGGCCCAGACUCCUACGGAGGCAGCAGUGGGGAAUAUUGCACAAUGGGCGCAAGCCUGAUGCAGCCAUGCCGCGUGUAUGAAGAAGGCCCUAGGGUUGUAAAGUACUUUCAGUCGGGAGGCGUUACCGACAGAAGAAGCACCGGCUAACUCCGUGCCAGUCGCCGCGGUAAUAC
rnacentral:rRNA from 1 species